UACUAAUUUAUCAUAAACCUGUACAUGGGGCGGUGGCUUCGGAGUGCACUAAUCAUGUUCUUGCUAUUAUCCAGUAAUGCACCAAAACUUAGCGGUCGCUACUUUACCGAGCGCCAUUUUGAUCGCGAAGUAAAACAUUAAAUGGAAUUGAUGAGGUUUCUGUCUGGUAAGACGCUGUUAUAGUGCCAUUUGUUGGCCUUGCCACUGUUCUGCAAUGGUUACAUUUACGAGUGAAGACUGUAAUAGUUUUGCUGCCAAUUAACUUGGAACACCAAUUGCAUAGCAGAGAUGGCCGACGAUCAAACAGAGGAUCCUACGUUGCUGAAAGAGGUAGGAAGAUAUCAACUCCUUUGGUUCAAACAAAGAACAUUUUGGGUUAAGGAUAUAUAUUGAGAGGCAGCGUAGCUCAGUUGGUUAGAGCGCAUGUUUCGGAUAAGCUCGUAGAUCUCAACGUGAGGGGUUUGAGUCCCGCUCAUGCCGAAACGCGUCUAAUAAAAAAUCUGAUGCUAUAGCGUUGUGUGUUAUCGUGCCUCACCGCUGUAUUCAGUACAGGUGUGAAUGCAGUUGGAAAACACUCCGUCCAUCGGAAAGGACGCAAAUAUUGGUCCCGUGUAUAUGAGAGUCACAACCUAUGCACGUUAAAACCAAUACACUAUUCGUCAAAGAGUAGGGUGUUCACCCGGUGUAUUGCACCUGCCGGUCCUGGUAAGUCAUGUCAAUCUUGACGUUCAUAUGCCAUAAUAAUCAAUAUAAUGAUUGUGGGCAUUAACGGA